rnacentral:lncRNA from 1 species
AUCAGUCCUUUUAAUUUUCAGUAUUCUAUGUGGGAAAGGAACUGGUGGCACAUACUCCUUCUCUUUUUCUUUUUCAGUUUCUACCACAAAAGAGGGUUCAGUUUCUAUCACAACAGAAAAAGGUUUAGGUGUUACCUCGAGAAUUUUUUUAUUUUUUUCUAGGGUUGGUUCGGUAACCUUCCCGGAUCUCAAGUAAAUUACACUCACAAUAGCAUUAGGGCCUUUUAGAUUCACAACUAUUUG